AGUUGACACGUCCGUCCAUUCCAUCCAUUUUCAUUUUUCACUUGUCCGGUCCAUCCAUACAUAGAACAAGUCCGGUCGUCGUUUUGGAUUUUAUAUCAUCCUGUUUCCUUAUAUUGGAGUGAUUAAUUUAGCCAGUAUGACACAGUUAAAUGUUGUGCUAAAAAAGUUUUACGAUGAAUAUUCAAAGAAUACGCCAAUUAAACUCAAGAUCAUUGAUGCAUAUCUGUUUUACAUUCUACUUACAGGAGUUUUUCAAUUCACCUACUGUUGUUUAGUGGGAACUUUUCCCUUCAAUUCUUUCCUUAGUGGUUUCAUCUCCUGUGUUAGUUGCUUUGUUUUAGGUGUGUGUUUGAGGUUGCAAGUUAAUCCUGUCAAUAAGUCAGAAUUCAACACCAUCAGUCCAGAAAGAGGCUUUGCUGACUUUAUAUUUGCUCACAUCAUUUUACACAUAGUGGUCAUGAAUUUCAUCGGCUAAGGAAACUGCACAUCAAUUUGUUUAAGAGUUGAAGACGUUCCAGCUGGCGAGGAGAUGUCACUACGUUCCGUGAGUCGUGAAAACUCCAGUUUUGAAGGCCAUGGAUUUGUCAAGUGUAACUGUCAAGGAGGCUGCGGAACAAAUAGGUGCUCUUGCAGGAAGAAUGGAAGACUUAGUUCAUCUAAAUGCCACAAUUCAUCUGCCUGCACCAACAAAUAACGAGAUUCAUUUCAUGGUUUGGCUCCGGCACCGGUGAUGUGCAGUUGAUUCUCCUUUUCAUCAAUUAACUAACAGAGUUUAUUUUGUUAGGAGACUCCUGGUUUCCUCUUUGCCUGUUCUAACAUUCCAUCAUGUAAAGAACACAUUGGUAAUGCCUAAGUGUAGCACUCCAAUCCAAUACUUUUGUACCAUAUUGUUACUGUCUCUUAGUUCGAAUAAAUCUUUGAAUCUGGAAAGGUGCAA